rnacentral:rRNA from 1 species
UACGAAGGGGGCUAGCGUUGCUCGGAAUCACUGGGCGUAAAGGGUGCGUAGGCGGGUCUUUAAGUCAGAGGUGAAAUCCUGGAGCUCAACUCCAGAACUGCCUUCGAUACUGGAGAGCUUGGAGUGCCGGGAGAGGUGAGUGGAACUGCGAGUGUAAGAGGUGAAAUUCGUAGAUAUUCGCAAGAACACCAGUGGCGAAGGCGGCUCCAGCUGGCCCGGU